rnacentral:rRNA from 1 species
UACGUAGGGGCAAGCGUUGUCCGGAAUCAUUGGGCGUAAAGAGCGUGUAGGCGGCCAGAUAAGUCCGCUGUGAAAUCUCGAGGCUCAACUUCGAGCUGUCGGUGGAAACUGUCUGGCUAGAGUCCGGAAGAGGAGAAUGGAAUUCCUGGUGUAGCGGUGAAAUGCGCAGAUAUCAGGAGGAACACCGGUGGCGAAGGCGGAUCUCUGGGCCAUUACUGACGCUGAGGAGCGAAGCGUGGGAGCGAACAGG